UGGACACCUGCUUCCCUCCAGGCUCAGAUUCCCACAAAGACUCACAUGGCUUCACACGCUCUGCUCCCUCAUGGACUCUGCUUCCCCACUUCUGGACUCCUUUUUCCCCGACCCUUUUUCUCCGUCUUCCCUGUGACAGACUGGUGACCUGUCCAGGGUGUCUCCUGCCUUCGCCUCAAGUCAGCUUUGAUCGACUCCAGAACCCCGCGACCCUAAUGAGGAUUAAGCGGUGUGUGGAUAAUGGAUGGAAUGAUGGAUGGAUGUAUUUCACGGAGUAACGGGAAGUUGUCAAUAUCAGGAAAUACCAGUCGGAGGACGGCUGUGCUCUGCUCAGGAGUCUUAUGUGGCCAGUUUAAGGUAUUUAGGGACUACUUCACAUCAAUACAUCUUCAGGAAACUACAUGUAAAAGUUGCUGGAUUUAAUGCAGCUGUCUACAUAGAAAAGGAGAGCUAGAAUUGUCCAGAAAAAUGAAAAAUUUGUCUACAUUUCCC
ensembl:lncRNA